GACCUUCGAGACUCCUCUACCCUGUGCUAAGGUGUAUGAGUUUCGACCCCAGAGCUCUGUGUGCUUCCAUGUUGCUGCUUUAUUUCGACCCCAGAGCUCUGGUCUGUGUGCUUUCAUGUUGCUGCCUUAUUAAAUCUUGCCUUCUACAUUUUAUGUAUGGUCUCAGUGUCUUCUUGGGUACGCGGCUGUCCCGGGACUUGAGUGUCUGAGUGAGGGUCUUCCCUCGAGGGUCUUUCAUUUGGUGCGUUGGCCGGGAAUUCGAGAAUCUUUCAUUUGGUGCAUUGGCCGGGAAACAGCGCGACCACCCAGAGGUCCUAGACCCACUUAGAGGUAAGAUUCUUUGUUCUGUUUUGGUCUGAUGUCUGUGUUCUGAUGUCUGUGUUCUGUUUCUAAGUCUGGUGCGAUCGCAGUUUCAGUUUUGCGGACGCUCAGUGAGACCGCGCUCCGAGAGGGAGUGCGGGGUGGAUAAGGAUAGACGUGUCCAGGUGUCCACCGUCCGUUCACCCUGGGAGACGUCCCAGGAGGAACAGGGGAGGAUCAGGGACGCCUGGUGGACCCCUUUGAAGGCCAAGAGACCAUUUGGGGUUGCGAGAUCGUGGGUUAGAGUCCCACCUCGUGCCCAGUUGCGAGAUCGUGGGUUCGAGUCCCACCUCGUGUUUUGUUGCGAGAUCGUGGGUUUGAGUCCCACCUCGCACCUUGUUGCGAGACCGUGGGUUCGAGUCCCACCUCGCGUCUGGUCACGGGAUCGUGGGUUCGAGUCCCACCUCGUGCAGAGGGUCUCAAUCGGCCGGCCUUGGAGAGGCCAUCUGAUUCUUCUGGUUUCUUUUUUGUCUUAGUCUCGUGUCCGCUCUUGUUGUGACUACUGUUUUUCUAGAAAUGGGACAAUCUGUGUCCACUCCCCUUUCUCUGACUCUGGAGCAUUGGAAGGAGGUGCGGGUCAGAGCCCACAACCAGUCGGUGGAGGUCAGAAAGGGUCAGUGGCAGACCUUUUGUGCCUCCGAGUGGCCAACGUUUGGAGUAGGCUGGCCACCUAAGGGUGCUUUUGACUUGUCACUAAUCGCCGCCGUCAGGCAAAUUGUUUUUCAGGAGGAAGGGAGUCGAUGUCAGGAAAUAGCGUUUGGCUUGGCUGGUUGUACAAGUCCAGGCGUGGACGAGUGUGCUUAGAGAUACUGGUGUCUUCUUUUUCUCUGUUGCUAUCUUGUUUUUGUUUGUGGUUUUUGUCAUGAGACACAGACACUGUACGUCAGAGGUAAAGUGAGAUCCCUCCCUGUCUGUAUGUCUGUGUGUCUGUGUGUCUUGUUCACUUGUGUGUCCUCCAUUGGACCACCUUCUGAUUCUGUUUUGUUUUUGGUUUGUCUGGUUUCAGGUCUGGUCUUGGUCCCAAGGAGUUGACUGAUUAUCUUGGUUUGGUUUUAGGCCGGUCUCAGGUUCUGGGGCCUUCCCAUGGAGACAGGUCCAUUUGGGUUGGUCAUAGUGACAGUAAGCUUCUCUGGAAAUCGCAUGUAAGAUGCCCUGUAUUAGUCUUGUUUGUGUUUGUCAUUUCUGUGGUACUGUGAUUCUAUAGUGGUUGCCUGAAAAACGGUUUCUGUGUGUGUCUUUUUUGUCUCUUUGUGUUCGGACUUGGACUGAUGACUGACGACUGUUUUUAAGUUAUGCCUUCUGAAAUAAGCCUAAAAAUCCUGUCAGAUCCCUAUGCUGACCACUUCCUUUCAGAUCAACAGCUGCCCUGCCUCCCACUCCAACUCCAGAGAGCAGCCUGCGGGUCACAGUGGUCCCGUCCAUGGACCUGGAGCCUAGGGGGAAAAUGAGUUCAAAAAUCCGGAGCAAAUGAGGAGUGGUCCCUGAGAAGUCAGUGGCCUGAAUGUUGUGGCUGCUGAAACAAAAAGAAGAGGAGGCUGUGCGAGUAGCCGGCCAAGAACGCUGCAGGUUCCCAGGCAGCUUCUCAUUCCCCUGUCCCUCCCAUCCCGUCUCUUGUUAACAGAAAAACUGCUUUCACUUUAAGAUAAGUGCCGGUUGCAGCCAGCUGUGAGAGCUGCACUCCCGUCUCUGCUCUAAAGUUCCCUCUUCUCAGAAGGUGGCACCACCCUGAGUUGCUGGCAGUGAGUCUGUUCCAGGUUCCAGUGAGGGAGGCAUCCGCCCACUUGGGGCUUCUGUCCAAGGUAAGGAGCACCUGUGAGUCUAACUGCCAGGCUCUGAUGGGGGUCUCGUCUCUGUGGGACUAGAAAGUGUCCCAACAAUCUGACCAAGGUAACAGGAAGUUAAGACAAAGACAGAGAUCAGAGUCAGAAUCAGAGCUGUGCUGUGAGACAAAAAGAUAAGAAAAAUGAAAUGCUGGCCACAAAAGUCAGGAAAACUAGAAAACUUAGAUAGUACCUGGCAACAAAAGAAAGCUUUUGGCUAAAGAUCAACGUGUAUACUGUAAAGAAAAUGAGCACUGGGUGAGAGACUGCCCCAACAAAAAGAAGAGGAGCCCCCCUCAUGACCAAACCCUUCACCUGUUCGUGGCUAAAAGUAAAGAGAUAACAAAAGGGGUGCUAACACAGAAGCUGAGUCCUUAAAAGAGUCCGGUGGCCUACCUGUUGAAGCAGCUAAAAAAAGAGACUGUGUUUCAUACUCCUCCACUGACCAGUGCAAAACAAGCUAAAAAGUUCCUGGGCACUGCGGGCUUUUGCAGAUUGUGGAUUCCAGUUUUGCUGAGUUAAAGAGAUAAACAGCCCUUCGUAUAAAGAAAAAAAAAAAAGGAACAAUCUUAGAUGGCCUUAGAUGCUCUUGAGACUGCCCUAAUGUUAUCCCCAGCUAUGGGACUCCUAGAUGUGACUGAGAACAAAGGUAUUGCCAAAGAAGUUCUUACUCAGAGAUUGGGACCCUGAAAAAGACCUGUGGCAUACUUGUAAGAAAUUAGACCUGGUGGCUGUAAGAUGGCCUGCUUGUCUGCACAUAGUGGCUUCUGGUCAAGGACGCAGAUAAAUUGACUCUGAGACAAAACUUGGCACAUGUCCUAGAAAGUGUGGUUCAGCCCCCAUGACCGAUGGCUGACUAACGCUCUUAAAAGCAUUAUCCAACUGUUCCCCUGACCGAUGGACACAUUGUCAGAGCUUUUUUUGACUGAACGAGUGACCUUCGCUCCCCCUGCUAUCCUCGAUCUCACUACUGCCUGAGACUUCACCUACUCAUCAUUGUGCUGACAUUCUGGCAGAAGGAACUCAUACUCGAAAUGAUCUGAAGGAUCAGAUCAGCCUUGGCCUGAGAGUUCGAGCUGGUACACGGAUGGCAGUAGCCUCGAGGUUAAGGGUAAGCGGAAGGCGGGGACAGCAGUGCAGUGGUGGACAGAAAGCAAGUGAUCUAGGCCAGCAGCCUCCCUAAAGGAACUUCAGCCCAAAAAGCUAAACUUGUGGCUUUAAUACAAGCUCUAUAUAUACAGACAAAGAGAGCUGUUGACAUCUGCAGAGAAAGACCUAAGAUGCUGUGGCUAAAAGAAAUCAGAUGGCAAAUCUAACCGCCCAGGCAUCCUAAAGAGCAAUGAUCCUGACAGUCUGAAGACUAUCAAGUUAUAGACAAAUUAAGACUGGUAAAAGAAACCCUGUAUAAAAUAGUAAAAACUGAAAAAAGAAAACUAGUCCUCUCAUGAGAAGACAGACCUGACAUCUACUGAAAAAUAGACUUUACUGAAAAAAUAUGUGUAUAAAUACCUUCUGGUUUUUGUGAACGUUCUCAAGAUGGAUAAAAGCUUUUCCUUGUAAAAAAACGAGACUGAUCAGAUAGUCAUCAAGAAGAUUAUUAAAAAUUUUCCAAGGUUCGGAGUGCCAAAAGCAAUAGUGUCAGAUAAUGGUCCUGCCUUUGUUGCCCAGGUAAGUCAGGGUGUGGCCAAGUAUUUAGAGGUCAAAUAAAAAUUGUAUUAUGUGUACAGACCUCAGAACUCAGGACAGAUAGAAAUAAUAAAUAAAACUCUAAACAGACCUUGACAAAAUUAAUCCUAGAGACUGGCACAGACUUACUUGGUACUCCUUCCCCUUGCCCUAUUUAGAACUGAGAAUACUCCCUCUUGAUUCGGUUUUACUCUUUUUGAGAUCCUUUAUGGGGCUCCUGUGCCCAUCACUGUCUUAAAUGAUGUGUUUAAACCUAUGUUGUUAUAAUAAUGAUCUGUAUGUUAAGUUAUAAGGCUUACAGGUGGUGCAGAAAAAAGUCUGGUCACAACUGGCUACAGUGAACGAGCUGGGUACCCCAAGGACAUCUUACCAGUUCCAGCCAGAGAUCUGAUCUACAUACACCUGCGUCAUGCUGAGACCCUCAAGCCUCACUAGAAGGGUCCCUGCCUAGUUCUGUUUACUAAUCUGCCUUAUUCUGUUUUUGUCCCAUGUUAAAGAUAGAGUAAAUGCAGUAUUCUCCACAUAGAGAUAUAGACUUCUGAAAUUCUAAGAUUAGAAUUACUUACAAGAAGAAGUGGGGAAUGAAGAAUAGAAAAUUACUGGCCUCUUGUGAGAACAUGAACUUUUUACCUCGGAGCCCACCCCCUCCCAUCUAGAGGUUGUUCUCGGAACACUCCUAAACUUUUCACCCCAAAACUCCUCACCCUAAAGUUCGAAAAAACUGUUCCAAGAACAUUUUUGAGAUAAAGGCCUCCUGAAACAACCUCAAAAUGAACCGGGUACAUUGCCAAAUGAUAGGACAUGACUCCUUAGUUACGUAGGUUCCUUGAUAGGACAUGACUCCUUAGUUACGUAGAUUCCUUUGGCAGAACUCCCUAGUGAUGUAAACUUGUACUUUUCCUGCCCAGUUCUCCCCCUUUGAGUUUUACUAUAUAAGCCUGUGAAAAAUUUUUGCUGACCGUCGAGACUCCUCUACCCUGUGCUAAGGUGUAUGAGUUUCGACCCCAGAGCUCUGUGUGCUUCCAUGUUGCUGCUUUAUUUCGACCCCAGAGCUCUGGUCUGUGUGCUUUCAUGUUGCUGCCUUAUUAAAUCUUGCCUUCUACAUUUUA
rnacentral:lncRNA from 1 species